rnacentral:lncRNA from 1 species
ACAUACCUAUUUAUAGGACCCUCAAUCAGAGGCAACGAGAAAAGACCUGCCUCCAAUUGAGAGUCCAACCCCCAAUUAACUAAACAUAGAAAUACAAAUGACUAGACUGAACAUAGAAAUACAUUAACAGAGAACAGUGCCCAAAACCCAGAAUAAUAAAUCAAACACCCUACUACUAACACCACCAGCCCGAACCACAUAAAACAAAUACCCCUGCCACGUCCUGACCACACUACAAUAACAAAUAACCCCUAUUACUGGUCAGGACGUGACAACACUGGAGAUGACAUUGAAUGUUCCUGAGUGGUCUAGUUACAGUUUUGACUUAAAUCAGCUUGAAAAGCUAAAGAAUAAUGUGCAAAUCUUUUAGCGACUUACCCAGAAAAACGGAAUAUUAGUGUUGUUUAUUUUUAUACAUUUUUAACAAAUGUCCAUUGUUCUUCCACUAUGACAUUACAGAGUGUUUUGUGUAGAUCGUUGACAAAAAAUGACAUUCAAUCCAUUUUAAUCCCACCGUGUAACACAACAUUUUGAAAAAGUCAAGGGGUGUGAAUACGUUCUGAAGGCACUGUAUAAUAUAAUAAUAUGUCAUUUAGCAGACGCUUUUAUCCAAAGAGACUUACAGUCAUACUGCAUACAUAUUAUAUAUGGGUGGUCCCGGGAAUCAAAUCCACUACCCUGGCGUUACAAGCGCUAUGCUCUACCAAUUUAGCUAAAAUGGACCACAACAGCUACAAGUCUCUUUGUGCCUUGUUUAAUGUUGCAAAGCCAAUUGAGAGGUAUCUCAGCCUACUACAGAUGGUUGGCUCAGUGAUCAUGCCCCAUAAUCAGUUCAGUUCAUUUAUUAGGCCUUUUACAGGAAAUGUGUCCAGCAUUCAAGAGCACUAUGUCAAAGACAUAAAACCAUCAACAUUUACAGAAAACAUGGCAUAGAUCACAACAACCACAUAGAACAGAUAGAUUUACACAGGUAGGAUAUAGAACAGAUAGAGAUAUAGAACAGAUAGAUAUAUACACAGGUAGGAUUAGAACGGAUAGAGAUAUACACAGGUGGGAUAUAAAAUAGAUAGAGAUAUAGAACAGAUAUAGAUAUAGCACUGAUAGAGAUAUACACAGGUAGGAUUAGAACAGAUAGAGAUAUACACAGGUGGGAUAUAAAAUAGAUAGAGAUAUAGAACAGAUAUAGAUAUAGCACUGAUAGAGAUAUACACAGGUAGGAUUAGAACAGAUAGAGAUAUACACAGGUAGGAUAUAGAUUAGAUAGAGAUAUAGAACAGAUAGCGAUAAAACACAGGUAGUAUAUUGAUUAAAUAGAGAUAUAGAACAUAUAUAGAUAUAGAACAGAUAGAGAUAUACACAGGUAGGAUAUAGAACUGAUAGAGAUAUAGAACAGAUAGAGAAAUACACAGGUAGGAUAUAGAUUAGAUAGAGAUAUAGAACAGAUAUAGAUAUAGAACAGAUAGAGAUAUACACAGGUAGGAUAUAGAAUAGAUAGAGAUAUAAAACAGAUAGAGACAGAGAACAGACAGAGAUAUAGAACAGAUAUAGAACAGAUAGAGAUAUAGAACAGAAAUAGAUAUAGAACAGAUAGAGAUAUAGAACAGAAAUAGAUAUAGAACAGAUAUAAAACAGAUAGAACAGAUACAGAAAUAGAACAGAUAGAGAUAUAGAACAGACAGAGAUAUAGAACUGAUAGAGAUAUAUAACAGAUAUAGAUUUAUAACAGAUAUAAAACAGAUAGAGAUAAAGAACAUAUAUAGAUAUAGAACAGAUAGAGAUAUAGAACAUUUAUAGAUGUAUAACAGAUAUAGAGAUAGAACAGAUAGCGAUAAAACACAGGUAGGAUGUUGAUUAGAUAGAGAUACAGAACAGAUACAGAAAUAGAACAGAUAGAGAUAUAGAACAGACAGAGAUGUAGAACUGAUAGAAAUAUAUAACAUAUAUAGAUUUAUAACAGAUAUAAAACAGAUAGAGAUAAAGAACAUUUAUAGAUAUAGAACAGAGAGAUAGCGAACAGAUAGAGAUAUUGAACUGAUAGAGAUAUUGAACUGAUAGAGAUAUAGAACAGAGAGAUAUAGAACAGAUAGAGAUAUUGAACAGAUAGAGAUAUUGAACAGAUAGAGAUAUUGAACAGAUAGAGAUAUUGAACAGAUAUAGA